rnacentral:rRNA from 1 species
UACGGGGGGAGCAAGCGUUGUUCGGAUUUACUGGGCGUAAAGGGCGCGUAGGCGGUCAGCACAAGUCAGUUGUGAAAUCUCCGGGCUUAACUCGGAAAGGUCAACUGAUACUGUGCGACUAGAGUGCGGAAGGGGCAACUGGAAUUCUCGGUGUAGCGGUGAAAUGCGUAGAUAUCGAGAGGAACACCUGCGGCGAAGGCGGCUUGCUGGGCCGACACUGACGCUGAUGCGCGAAAGCAUGGGGAGCGAACAGG